AGCAUCACAGAGUUCCAUCUAGAGUGGAGAGAGAGCCCCCCAGAGCCCUGAACAGCUCCACUGCCACCAAUCUCAUUACCAUCACACCUGCAAAGGGGCCACUGCUGCCACAGCUGGCCCCAGUCACCAUUACUGUGACCGCAAACAUGAGCAGUGAGGCUGAGACACUUGGCAUGACACCAUGGGCAGAGGCAGAGGGAGUGGCAGCCUGCAAACAGGACAAGAAGGUUAUCCCAGUGAAAGUUUGGGAACAGUAAGAUGGUUCAGUGUAAGAAAUAUAUAUGGUUUCGUCCACAGGAAUGACACUGGGUGAGAUGUAUUUGUAUGCCAGAUUGUCAUAAAGAAGAAUAACCCCCAGGAAACACCCUGGCAGUACAGGGGAUGGAGAAGCUGUGGAGUUCGAUGUUGAAGGAGAAAACGGUACACAGGCAGCAAAGAUUGCAGGCCCUGGUGGAGUUCCAGUGCCAGGCAGUACAGAUGCAGUAGACUGAAGCCAUUAUAGAUGUUAUCUGCAUCAUGGGGGUCUUCCACACGGUCACCAGCACAAUUACCAGAACAAUGAGAGUGGGGAAAAGAAGGAUUGGAGAGUUCCCUUAAACGUCAGGCCUUACAGCACACAGAAGAUGCCUCCUCCCUUGCAGAGACCCUAUGAUUCUUGACCAGAGUGUUCUAACCCUCCUGUGCAGAGACAAGUGAUGGAGGGUGGUGACAACCAGGGUGAAGGAGAAGAGGUAGGUCAGUGAGACAGAUUACGUAUUGGGGUUACAGACCACGAAUCUCCAGGGCCCCUCCUCACCUAGAACAGUAAUGAACACCCAAGGCCAGCAGCCAUGUCAUUGUAGGCACCCCCCAACUUCAGUUACCAGCACAGACACCCAGAAAACCCUGAACCACAAGAUGGCAAAGAGACUGACAGCUAGGAAGUCCGUUGCCAAGGCUGAGC
rnacentral:lncRNA from 1 species